rnacentral:rRNA from 1 species
UACGGAGGGUGCAAGCGUUGUCCGGAUUCAUUGGGUUUAAAGGGUGCGUAGGCGGAUAAGUAAGUCAGUGGUGAAAGACCAGGGCUCAACCCUGGGAUUGCCAAUGAUACUGUUUAUCUUGAGAACAGUUGAGGUAGCCGGAAUGUGUAGUGUAGCGGUGAAAUGCUUAGAUAUUACACAGAACACCGAUUGCGAAGGCAAGUUACUAGGCUGAUUCUGACGCUGAGGCACGAAAGCGUGGGGAGCAAACAGG